GACGAACCGUGCGAACGUUGUUCGGAAUCACUGGGCUUAAAGGGCGCGUAGGCGGGCGCACAAGUCAGGGGUGAAAUCCCACGGCUCAACCGUGGAAGUGCCUUUGAUACUGUGGGCCUUGAGGGAGGUAGGGGCGUGCGGAACUUCCGGUGGAGCGGUGAAAUGCGUAGAUAUCGCUUGGAACGCCGAAGGUGAAAACAGGCUGCUGGGGUCGCGCCGACGCUGAGACACGAAAGCCAGGGGAGCAAACGGG
rnacentral:rRNA from 1 species